UCCGGCUUAUCACCGGCGGUUUCUUUAGAGUGCCCAACUAAAUGAUGGCAACUAAAGACGAGGGUUGCGCUCGUUGCGGGACUUAACCCAACAUCUCACGACACGAGCUGACGACAACCAUGCACCACCUAUCGCAGACCCCGAAGGACACCGUAUCUCUACGGCUUUUCCUGCGUAGUUCAACCCAGGUAAGGUUCUUCGCGUUGCAUCGAAUUAAGCCACAUGCUCCGCCGCUUGUGCGGGCCCCCGUCAAUUCCUUUGAGUUUUAGCCUUGCGGCCGUACUCCCCAGGCGGGGUACUUAAUGCGUUAGCUGCGGCACGGAACCCGUUGAUAAGGCCCCACACCUAGUACCCAACGUUUACGGCGUGGACUAC
rnacentral:misc_RNA from 1 species